AUUGAACGCUGGCGGCAGGCCUAACACAUGCAAGUCGAACGAGUGGCGGACGGGUGAGUAAUGUCUGGGAAACUGCCUGAUGGAGGGGGAUAACUACUGGAAACGGUAGCUAAUACCGCAUACCAUCGGAUGUGCCCAGAUGGGAUUCGCUAGUAGGUGGGGUAAAGGCGCACCUAGGCGACGAUCCCUAGCUGGGCUGGGAGGAUGACCAGCCACAUUGGAACUGAGACACUGUCCAGACUCCGACGGUGGGCAGCAGUGGGGAAUAGUGCACAAUGGGCGCAAGACUUAUUCAGCCAUGCAGCGUGUAUGAAGAAGGCCUUCGGGUUUUAAAGUACUUUCAGUGGGGAGGCGUUACCCGCAGAAGAAGCACCGGCUAACUCCGUGCCAGCAGCCGCGGUAAUAC
rnacentral:rRNA from 1 species